UUAAGUUCAGCGGGUAGUCCUACCUGAUUUCAGGCCAAAGUUUAAAAGUUGUCCAUUCGGACGAUUAGAAGCAGCACUUCCGAAGAGGCAUAAGGCGACGGCGCAGAUAAUUAUCACACCAAUGCCAAGCACUCUAAUAAGCGCAAGCUAAUGCAUUUCAGGACGAGCCAACUACGGCACAGUCCAAAUCCACAGCUUGC
rnacentral:misc_RNA from 1 species